rnacentral:rRNA from 1 species
UCCUACGGGAGCAGCAGUGGGGGAUAUUGCACAAUGGGGGGAACCCUGAUGCAGCGACGCCGCGUGGGUGAAGAAGCGCCUCGGCGCGUAAAGCCCUGUCAGCAGGGAAGAAAAUGACGGUACCUGAAGAAGAAGCCCCGGCUAACUACGUGCAAGCAGCCGCGGUAAUACGUAGGGGGCAAGCGUUAUCCGGAUUUACUGGGGGUAAAGGGGGCGCAGACGGCGAUGCAAGCAAGGAGUGAAAGCCCGGGGCCCAACCCCGGGACGACGCUGGGACAUGCGGGGCUGGAGUGCAGGGGGGGCAG